rnacentral:rRNA from 1 species
UACAGAGACCUCAAGCGUUGUCCGGAAUCAUUGGGCGUAAAGCGCGUGUAGGCGGUCCGGUAAGUCGGCUGUGAAAGUCCAGGGCUCAACCCUGGGAUGCCGGUCGAUACUGCCGGACUAGAGUUCGGAAGAGGCGAGUGGAAUUCCCGGUGUAGCGGUGAAAUGCGCAGAUAUCGGGAGGAACACCAAUGGCGAAGGCAGCUCGCUGGGACGUUACUGACGCUGAGACGCGAAAGCGUGGGGAGCAAACAGG